rnacentral:rRNA from 1 species
UACGAAGGGGGCUAGCGUUGCUCGGAAUCACUGGGCGUAAAGGGUGCGUAGGCGGUGCUUUAAGUCAGGUGUGAAAUCCUGGAGCUCAACUCCAGAACUGCCUUUGAUACUGAGGAUCUUGAGUUCGGGAGAGGUGAGUGGAACUGCGAGUGUAGAGGUGAAAUUCGUAGAUAUUCGCAAGAACACCAGUGGCGAAGGCGGCUCACUGGCCCGAUACUGACGCUGAUGCGCGAAAGCGUGGGGAGCAAACAGG